CAGCAGCCGCGGGAAUACGUAGGUGGCAAGCGUUGUCCGGAAUUAUUGGGCGUAAAGGGCUCGCAGGCGGUUUCUUAAGUCUGAUGUGAAAGCCCCCGGCUCAACCGGGGAGGGUCAUUGGAAACUGGGAAACUUGAGUGCAGAAGAGGAGAGUGGAAUUCCACGUUUAGCGGUGAAAUGCGUAGAGAUGUGGAGGAACACCAGUGGCGAAGGCGACUCUCUGGUCUGUAACUGACGCUGAGGAGCGAAAGCGUGGGGAGCGAACAGGAUUAGAUACCCUGUAGUCCCUGUCUCUUAUACC
rnacentral:rRNA from 1 species